rnacentral:lncRNA from 1 species
UGUAUAUAUUUUUACAUUACAGACUGGGUUGGGACGUUCAAAGUCCGCUCCAAUCACGGGAACUCCCAGGUCCAGGUCCAGGUCGACGACCCCAAGAAAGGAACGCUUGUGGGUCGGAGAGGAUCCGCCCUCGUCGGAAUCACUGGGGGCUCCUGUUAACCGUUAUGCUGCUUCUAGCUCCAGGCCUCCGCCAACCCGUUGGAUUGGCAAGGAUCCCGAGGGAGACUCCCUGUUGGACUGGAGGGAUCCCGCAGAUACCCUGAUACCUACCCGGAAGUACAGAAUCAGGUGUGGUAUGGACAAAUGUGCAGAAGUUGUUGGCUUUUGCUGUGAAUGCAGCUAUCGAAAUUCUUUGGGCACUGGAUCAGAAAGAGGUCACUAUACUCUCGGCACAAGAUCUAGUCGAUUGCGUAAAGGAGUGCAAUGGCUGCAAAGGCGGCAGUCUAAAACCCACUUUGGAGCACAUCCGUAGAGCAGGAGUUGCGAAAGCGAAAGAUUACCCUUACUGGGCCAGUUCAGGAACUUGCUUUGGACAUAUACCACGAUAUUUGAGGAUCAACCAUUUCGAGCAGGUCAGAACACAGGAUAAAAUGGAAUCUGCUCUAUCCCGUAGUCCACUCCCAACUGGCAUACACCAACCAGAUGAACUACAAGUAAGCAGUGACAAGAUUUGUCGGUUUUCGGCUACUCAUAAUGCAAAAACAUAAGUUGAAAUAUUAGCCGGCUUUACAAAUAUAUGCAAUGAUUGCGA